GCCGGGGUGGCCCAGCCCGGUAAGGCGGCAGGUUGCUAACCUGCUGGCGCGUUGCGCCUCAGGGGUUCAAAUCCCCUCCCCGGCGCCA
rnacentral:tRNA from 1 species